rnacentral:lncRNA from 1 species
AACAUAUUGCUUCAAUAAUCGACUGCUACAUAAAAGAAUAUGGAGCUUCAAAAGAGGAAGCAUGCAUUGAGAUGCAGAAGGAAGUCACAAAUGCAUGGAAAGACAUAAAUAAGGAAUUUCUUCUCACGAGGAAAGUACCAUUUUUUAUCCUCGAACAAGCUUUAAAUUAUGCGCGAUCGGCAGAUACAACUUUCGGAGGUGGUCAUGAUGGAUACACAAAUUCCAAUUGCGAAACUAAAAACUUGAUUACUUCGCUGUUUGUUGAAUCCGUCAACAUAUGAUGACAAUAUUAAUGUAGAUGCACCUUCGACUAAGUAUUUUAAUUUGGACGAGCUUUAAUAUAUAAAUAAAAUCCUUUGCUUCUAAGUUCUAAGCAAUUUUUAUUUUUAUUUGGAGCAAAUGGGUUGUAGGUUUUAUAACUAUAUAUGUUGUAACAAUCAAAUGUAAUUUCUUUAACAAACAAUUUAUCUUAAUUACUGCUUGAUACUUUUUUGUUGUUGAUUACAUUUGAGAAGGGAAACUGGGGAAGUAGCGAUCUUGGUUCAUGAGUGGUAUAUUAUGCCAUCUUUUGCUUCUAAGCUAUUAGGAGUGUGAGUUUCAUAUCAUAACUCUGUUUGUACACUCCACGUGCAUAAACAUGUCACAUUGAUGAAUUUUUUUUUUUUUUUUUUGUAGUAGUGUAAUAUAGUAGGAACAUGAAUCAUGAUCAACCCUUGAUGCACUUAGCUAGCCGCCCGAUCAUAAACUCUCAAGUUAAAAAAAUACUACGUAGAAGGGUAUAACUGUUGACAUGGUGUAUUGAAUUAAUAUAUUGAAAUCUAUUUCUCAUAGGUUCAACAACAAAUAGAACAUAUUGCUUCAAUAAUCGACUGCUACAUAAAAGAAUAUGGAGCUUCAAAAGAGGAAGCAUGCAUUGAGAUGCAGAAGGAAGUCACAAAUGCAUGGAAAGACAUAAAUAAGGAAUUUCUUCUCACGAGGAAAGUACCAUUUUUUAUCCUCGAACAAGCUUUAAAUUAUGCGCGAUCGGCAGAUACAACUUUCGGAGGUGGUCAUGAUGGAUACACAAAUUCCAAUUGCGAAACUAAAAACUUGAUUACUUCGCUGUUUGUUGAAUCCGUCAACAUAUGAUGACAAUAUUAAUGUAGAUGCACCUUCGACUAAGUAUUUUUAUUUGGAGCAAAUGGGUUGUAGGUUUUAUAACUAUAUAUGUUGUAACAAUCAAAUGUAAUUUCUUUAACAAACAAUUUAUCUUAAUUACUGCUUGAU